AUGGUAACAGGUGUAUCAGGAGUGCAAGCAGAGGCCACACACCUCAACGUCCAACGAAGCCUUCAAGGAGAGUCACGGGAGCUGCUCGUCAAACACAGGAAAUCUCGAAAAGUAAGGAGACACGCUCUUCACCUCAAGAGGCCACGUGGACGUGGGGGAAGAGGUUGCAGAGUCGGGACGAUCCAGCUUCUCUGGGUCACUCUAGCCAUUUUCAUCUAGUAAGAUGAAGCGACUAAGCUACAUACUAUCUAAGGUCCCUCCCUGUUCUAAAAUUCUAUAGACUGUUUAAAAAGUGAGGGAAAUCUAUGAUCUAUUCUGGCUCAUAAAUCCUGUAACUUUUUUCAUAAACUGUCUAUUAAUUAUGUUCAUUAUAUUUUUCCAUUCUUGGUUUGUCUCCUAAUUACACUGGCUUGGUUACCAUUGUGCUUAUUUUGCAAAAUUAAGGAUCUUUGGGGCCUGGAAGAGGAAGUGACAUAGUCUGCAGGUUGGCAAAGAGAGCCAAGUCAUGUCAUUUCCUUGUGGAGACUCCAGGCUCGCACUCUUAGGAAGGGUAAUACUGAUGGAGAAGGAGCUGUGUCACUGUCCCAGAGUCUGAGACCCCUGACAUGCCACCCUCCUGCCAUGCUGAGGUCUGACUCAAUGAAUCUUGUCUAAGAAAGUAACUAACAUGGGAGCUUCAAACCUGGGCAAAAACACACAGACCUGCCUUCAGACACAUUUCUAAGAUGUCAGGGACUAUAUCAGCCACUCAGGGCUCCUUUGAAGUCCUGAAGGGCAAAGUCAGAUGGGUCUCAGACAGCCUCAGACGAGGGGCCGAUGAUACAAAUGGAGACAGCUUCAGUGGCUGACCAAUUGUGCCCCAGUCUAUUCAGAUCCUGCCAGCCCUGCAGCCGCCUGCAUGCUCUUCUCAACACCUUGUACAUUCAGAAAUGUACGCCUGAGCUGCACUCUCACUCCCCGAAUUAUUCCACACCUUGACAUCCUGUCCACUAAACUCAGCCCAUCUAUAGAGAAGCAGUAUCAUUCUGUCCAGUGCAGCUCAGCACUACCUCAACCAGAGCCCCGUUUCCAUGAUGAUUGGGGACAAUGCCUGAUUGACAAAUAUUGACUGCAGUCCUACUGGGUACAGAGCACUGGGGUGGCACCAGCAGACAUAUCACAGGAAUUUCUGAGUUUCUGACACCAGCUAAUAACUCAGAAUUUAAGAAGAGAGUAAGUUGCUUUUCAAAAUUCACAAAGUUUUCAAGAUUGUCGCCUUCUCUGAGAAAAAGCUGGGGGGAAAACCCCCUAGUAGCCGUUGAAAGGGCUCUGUACCCAUAGGUCUAAAGGUUUAGUGGCAGUGGUGAUGUGGUCUGGGUGGGUGAGCUGAAUGGAAGAUAUCAGGUCUCCCCUGAGGGCACAGAAAGCCAGGAAGGACUGGACUAAGGGGAAUCCUAAGCCUUCAAACCACUGUGCUUCAAACAGUGGGUGAUAAGUCCACUAGUGGGCCAUGACCAGGAAUGCUUUAAAACUAAGUAGAAAAGAAGAGAAGUAGUGUGGAAUACAAAACAAGGUGAGUACAAGUUCAGGAAACUUCAUUUCUAGUUUACAUAUAUAUUUAUAUAUACAGGUAUACAUAGCUUUACAUACAAUAUGUUCUGAUAUGACAUAUUUCUCCCUGUAGAUCAAGUCAAAAAUAUUUGGGAAAUGCUAAUUAAAAAAAAAAAAAAAUGAACACCCUUCCCAGUAAGCUAGGCAUGCAUUUCAAUGCAAGAGCCAACAGCUAUUUAUUGACAUGAGCCGCUGCAUACGUGGCGGUCGAGCUGGCUAAAUGAGAAAAAAUGAUGCAGGCAAAAACAAGCUAAGAGCUGCCAAAGUGAUUAAAUAAGCUCCUGACACUGCCAAAGAGGAGAUGGUGUCUGCGCUGCUAAAAUCUCUCCUCUGGCUUGGAUCAUUCUGCUUCUCAAGCAGUGAAACUCUACCUCGGAGUUGAACAAAAUCUUCCACCUCUGAAUUAAAAAAGCAAGAAAGCUUUAUUAAAUUCGAGCAUUUGUGGCAACCGAGGUGGCUUUUGGAGCAUAAUUUAAAAACUCCUAAUUUGGGGCAUCACUUUAAAAAAGGUACUAAUUAUGCUUUACCUUUUGUAGACAUUUUACCUUCUACAGAAAACGCCUUCCAAAUACAAAAUUUCAUGAGGAAAUCAAAUCUGCUUGCACCAGAUUCAUUUCUGCUGAAUCACAGCAUCCCUUUCUUUCUCAAAUGCCUUUUUCAUGAAACAACUUCCAGAAGCUGGAAGUGACGAUUGAGUCACUGUUUGUUUGCCACAUCAGACUAGAGAAGCUGAGUUAGCUGAACAAGGUCAGAUGCCAAGUAAGGGCUCAGAUCUAAAGACAGACUUUUGAAAAAUAUUCUCCAUUUUUCAAAGAUUCCUUUCCUGGACCAAUAUCUAAAGUUUUUUGUUUUAUUUAUUUAUUUAUUUUUAAUCUGAUAGAGAUUAUUUUUUUCUAUGAUUUUUCUGGUGUCUGUGCUUUUCUUUGAUGCUCUCCAUUUGCCUUUUUUUAUAGUUUUAUUUUAUUUUUUUACAGAAUAAAAUACAUAUAUUUAAACACAAUUACAUUCACACAGAUUAUUAUAUCAUGGAUCUUAAGAAACAGAUUAAGUGACUCCCUCUGGAGAAGUGGAAUGGAAAAUAUGCUGAGACAAAUAGGAAAUUUAUUCUAUACUUUAUCCCAUUUUGUAUGGCUUUCAUCUUUACUAUUUAGUAUUACCUAUUACAUUUCAAUUUUUCUUUAAAAAUUAGCAUUAUAUUAAAAUUGUGUAUAUUAUGCAACUAAAGUUUAUAAAGAAGAAAGCCUUAUAUACCAUUAAAUAUUUUAUAUAGCAUAAUAAAAAGAAUAGCUUAACUGGUAAGAAUAACAAAAAUAAUACACCCUUUCCUCUGAAAAUAAGUAAAAUUUAAAAUGCAUAAAUUGGUUAAAAAAACAGUGUAACUAUAUAUGUCCUCACAAUUUGUUACAUUUUAUUGAUUCUUCAGUAUAGGCAUUACACCAUUCUAGGUGAUAAACAAGACAUUAUAGACCUUACAUUAUACCAUGAAGAGAAAUGGUAAUUAAUAAUACAACUGUAGAAUCGUAUUAUUUAAUUGUACAGUUGCAUUAUUUAAUUAUAAUUAUCAUAAAUUCUUUGAUGGAGAGGAAAUCAGAAUCAGAUGUAAGAAAACUGCAGCAUUCCAAGAAUGAUGUCAAAUGACCCCCUUCAUGGUGGAUUAUGCACUUAUUGACUAUGAGAUAUAUUGCUUCUUCAGAGAUUCCUUGUUUGUGUAUCAAUUGUAGAUUUUUGGUUUGCAGUUAUUCUGAAGUUUUGAUAUAAGAGCCUAUACGUAUAUGAGAUUGUUUUAAGUUGUUGUUCUCUUAAUUGCAAGUGCAUUCCAGUGUCCUGCAUUUGUACCCUCCUCUUCUCAUGAUUUCUGAUUUUGGUGGCAUAAUUUUGCAUGGAUGAUUUUGUAUCUUUAUUGUAUGUAUACCUUACUGGUGAGCCUUGUCAUUUGUGGAAUUUUUGUUUCCUGUUGCUGUCUUUUCUUUUCUGCCUAGAGAAGUUCCUUUAGUAUUAGUUGUAAGGCUGGUUUAGUGUUGCUGAAUUCUCUCAACUUUUGCUUAUCUGUGAAGGUUUUGAUUUCUCCUUCAAAUCUGAAUGAGAGCCUUGCUGGGUAGAGUAAUCUUGGUUGGAGGUUUUUUCCUUUCAUCACAUUAAGUAUAUCAUGCCACUCCCUUCUGGCUUGCAGAGUUUCUGCUGAAAAAUCUGC
ensembl:lncRNA